rnacentral:tRNA from 1 species
AAUAAAGUGCCUGAUAAAAAGGAUUAUUCUGAUAGGAUAAAUUAUGUAAA